rnacentral:rRNA from 1 species
GUUGGCGGCCUCAAGCGAGGGAUUGAUUUUUUGGGUGAUGUUCUAAUCGAAUAUGACAUGAGGAUCAAAAGUGGUGAACAAGAAAAUCAUGAUCUACAGUUGAUCGAUGGUGCAUCAAUGAUAGGCCACAUGGGCUUACGGAAUCGUCAUGCGUUCACAAAUCGCAUCCAUGGGGAGUGCGGCGCAAUUGACCUAACUUUUUCAGGUCUUGAAGAUGCAGUUGAGGCGACUAUAGAAGUUGCCAUAUCAAAAGUGCAAAGCAAUUUCGAUCUGUCUCUCGGUUGUUUUACCAGUGCUUUGAAUGAACAAAUCUAUCUCUUCAAUGGCCCCAUUGGUGAGGCGCAAGGCUUAAAAAGGUAUGUUGUUGCUGUAGUGGCAGGUUCUUGGAUACACCUGAAGUUGAAGAUUGGCCAGGAGUCAUCCGGUUCCGCCGAACAUGAUUGUUCCUUCAAUGCUAGCAACCACGGGUCUAAUGCUCAAAAGAUAAAGACUAAUUUUGCGUUAAUCUCAGUGAAGAUGACCUGGUCGUCGUUGCCUAAGGGGCACUAG